rnacentral:rRNA from 2 species
UCGACAUUUCGAACGCACAUUGCGGUCCUCGGAUACUGUUCCCGGACCACUCCUGGCUGAGGGUCGUAU